rnacentral:rRNA from 1 species
UGGGGAAUUUUGGACAAUGGGCGCAAGCCUGAUCCAGCCAUGCCGCGUGCGGGAAGAAGGCCUUCGGGUUGUAAACCGCUUUUGUCAGGGAAGAAAUCCUUUGAGCUAAUACCUCGGGGGGAUGACGGUACCUGAAGAAUAAGCACCGGCUAACUACGUGCCAGCAGCCGCGGUAAUACGAAGGGUGCAAGCGUUAAUCGGAUUUAUUGGGUGUAAAGAGCAUGUAGGCGAGUAAGCAAGUCAGAUGUGAAAUUUCGAAGCUCAACUUCGAAGCUGCAUUUGAAACUACUUACCUUGAGGGUAGACGGAGAAAACGGAAUUCCAAGUGUAGCGGUGAAAUGCGUAGAUAUGCGGAGGAACACCGAUGGCGAAGGCAAUUCCCUGGGCCUGCACUGACGCUCAUGCACGAAAGCGUGGGGAGCAAAC